CGAACACUCCAAAUAAAGCACUUCAACAAACCCCAAGCCCUAGUUCUAUUUUUCUUUUUAUUUUAAUACAACUUUAGUGCAGAAAUCUGUUCCGAAUCGAUGGCUAGCAUGCCAAAGAAUCUUGACUGGCUGUGCCAGCUGAGUGCUUGUGGGGAGGGGGACGAUAAAAACAAUGGAUCCAUGUCAGCAGGCUCCUCCGUGUGAAGCAGCAUGGUGAGGUCGAGGAGCGGCAAGAUAGGAGGUUUCCCUGUGCAGAAAGAGGAAGGAGCAUGCACACUCGAGAUGGAGCGAGACCAACAACAACAAUAGUAAAAGAGCCUCACUCGCACACGGGAGCUUCAGUCUACGGUGGUCUCGUUCUGCAGUCAGAGCUCAACAGCACCAUCGCCACUCCCAAUGAGCUCCGUUCUUCUCGAGGCCCAGCGCAGAGACAGAGAAAGCCAGAAAUCAACAAAACAACAAAUAAGUGACAGAAGAAUCAGAAUGACAGAAAGCAGUGGUGUACGUUUUAUCCUUUUUUCAUGUAAUUAUAUAAUUAUAGCAAUGCUCAGAAAAAAGAAAAAAGAAACGUAUGUUUCUUAGCAUGGCCUGGGAGUUUGUUGUUGAAUGAAUUCG